rnacentral:rRNA from 1 species
GAUGAACGCUGGCGGCGUGCCUAAUACAUGCAAGUCGAGCGAACAGACGAGGAGCUUGCUCCCCUGACGUUAGCGGCGGACGGGUGAGUAACACGUGGAUAACCUACCUAUAAGACUGGGAUAACUUCGGGAAACCGGAGCUAAUACCGGAUAAUAUAUUGAACCGCAUGGUUCAAUAGUGAAAGACGGUUUUGCUGUCACUUAUAGAUGGAUCCGCGCCGCAUUAGCUAGUUGGUAAGGUAACGGCUUACCAAGGCAACGAUGCGUAGCCGCCCUGAGAGGGUGAUCGGCCACCCUGGAACUGAGACACGUUCCAGACUCCUACGGGAGGCAGCAGUAGGGAAUCUUCCGCAAUGGGCGAAAGCCUGACGGAGCAACGCCGCGUGAGUGAUGAUGGUCUUCGGAUCGUAAAACUCUGUUAUUAGGGAAGAACAAAUGUGUAAGUAACUAUGCACGUCUUGACGGUACCUAAUCAGAAAGCCACGGCUAACUACGUG